rnacentral:rRNA from 1 species
GUGAGGAAUAUUGGUCAAUGGGCGGGAGCCUGAACCAGCCAAGUCGCGUGAAGGAAGAAGGAUCUAUGGUUCAUAAACUUCUUUUGCAGGGGAAUAAAGUGCAGGACGUGUCCUGUUUUGUAUGUACCCUGAGAAUAAGGAUCGGCUAACUCCGUGCCAGCAGCCGCGGUAAUACGGAGGAUCCGAGCGUUAUCCGGAUUUAUUGGGUUUAAAGGGUGCGUAGGUGGUUUGAUAAGUCAGCGGUGAAAGUUUGCAGCUUAACUGUAAAAAUGCCGUUGAAACUGUCGGACUUGAGUGUAAAUGAGGUAGGCGGAAUGCGUGGUGUAGCGGUGAAAUGCAUAGAUAUCACGCAGAACUCCGAUUGCGAAGGCAGCUUACUAAGCUACAACUGACACUGAAGCACGAAAGCGUGGGGAUCAAACAGGAUUAGAAACCCCGGUAGUCC